GGCGUCGCAGGUUGCAAGCUCGAGUGAACUUACGUGCGUGUAUGUCAUCCGGCCACCCACAUGCAGUACAUGGAGCCAGACAUGUUCAAAAAGGCUAAUAAAAGGUACACAGACGCCAAAGUCUUGGUAUGUCAGCAAAGGCAUACAAACAGAAAAACCUUCGCAAACAUCGGUUGAAAUUCAGGCGUCGACCACAUCCUCCGAUGCAUUGCACAGCUGUCUUCGUCCCGAGGACGAGUCCGUUUCGGAGGUGGCAGGCCCAAGUCCCCUGGGAGAUGAGACCGGUGCCCCAGGACAUCUACAAGCAGCAGAAGGAACUCAGGCAGAAGCAACCUUCGCACAACACGAGCAGCCACUUCAGCGGUGCUCUACGCCUAUUAGUGGCACAGUCCCCAGCUCUUUGGACUUGGACGGCACUCCUCAGACUUCGCAGCCCGACACCGAUCCUGUGGACAUGAGCGAU